rnacentral:rRNA from 1 species
GACGAACGCUGGCGGCGCGCCUAACACAUGCAAGUCGAACGGAAAUGAUUGAAGUUUACUUUGGUCAUUUUAGUGGCGGACGGGUGAGUAACACGUGAGCAACCUGCCUUUCAGAGGGGGAUAACGUUUGGAAACGAACGCUAAUACCGCAUAACGUAUACGGAUGGCAUCGUCUGUAUACCAAAGGAGGAAUCCGCUGAAAGAUGGGCUCGCGUCCGAUUAGCUAGAUGGUGAGGUAACGGCCCACCAUGGCGACGAUCGGUAGCCGGACUGAGAGGUUGACCGGCCACAUUGGGACUGAGACACGGCCCAGACUCCUACGGGAGGCAGCAGUGAGGGAUAUUGGGCAAUGGGGGCAACCCUGACCCAGCGACGCCGCGUGAGGGAAGACGGUCUUCGGAUUGGUAAACCUCUGUCUUUGGGGACGAAAAAAGGACGGUACCCCAAGGAGGAAGCUCCGGCUAACUACGUG